ensembl:lncRNA
AAUCAGCACACACACAAAGUACGCAUGUGUUAAUACAUAUUUCCCCUUUAUCUAUAACCACGAAUAUUCACUAUGGACUGCGCAUUUAGCUGGGUCUUACAGGACCCACAAACAGGAAGCAGCAGCAGCCCCUGCUCUCGUGACAGGAGGCCAGUAUUGGUGACAUCACGUCAUUCAGAGCUCAGAUCUGUGCAUCACCCGUCCAUGACUCACAAGCCAAGAUCCCCACCUGCCAAGGCCACCUGUCCAAUCCCUCGUAACAUAUCGAUGUGAGAGUUGGACUAUUAAGAAAGCUGAGUGCUGAAGAAUUGAUGCUUUUGAACUGUGGUAUUGGAGAAGACUCUUGAGAGUCCCUUGGACUGCAAGGAGAUCAAACCAGUCAAUCCUAAAGGAAAUCAGUCCUGAAUAUUCAUUGGAAGGACUGAUGCUGACACUGAAACUCCAAUACUUUGGUCACCUGAUGUGAAGAACUGACUCAUUGGAAAAGACUCUGAUGCUGAAGAAAGACUGAAGGCAGGAGGAGAAGGGGACGACAGAGGAUGAGCUGGUUGGAUGGCAUCUCCGACACAAUGGAUGUGAGUUUGAGCAAGCUCUGGGAGUUGGUGAUGGACAGGGAAGCCUGGCAUGCUGCAGUCCAUGGGGUUGCAAAGAGUCAGACACAACUGAGUGACUGAACUGAACUGAAUACCUUCAUUUGGCCUUACAAGAACCUAGGCAGAGAACUCAACCAUCCCCACCUGGAUUCUUGACCUACAGAACUGUGAGCUAAUCCAUGUGGAUUCAGCUGCUAAAUCUGUGAUCAUUUACUACACAGCCACGGAAAACUGAUUCAGCCCUGGUCCACAACACACAGAGCCCACAAGGACCAGCCCCCAAGUGCCACACCAUCCAUGGAGCAUACGAGGUUUACACUCCAUGCAAGCCACAACCACCCAGUCCACUGUGGGUCCGUCCCAUCCACAGGCGCCUCAAAGUGCCCUCAACACUCACUGUGGAAAGUGUUCUGAGAAGCCUGUUGGAGACAGAGGGUAUUUCCUGCUGCCAGGCCCUCUCCCAGCUGGGUCAAAGGUGGCCACCUUCAGCCAAACACUCAAGCUCCCCCUCUUCAGGGCACCCCUGGGAAGUGGCUGCCUCACCCCAAACUGCAUUUCCCAGCUCUCCUUGCAUCUAGUAUGGCCCUAUGGUUGGUUCUUGCCCGUGGAAUGUGAACGGAAGUGGUGGGCCCCUUCCUGGCCACAGAUGUUAAGAAGGCCAACCACAGAGAGACACUGGGGGGACCUCAGGUCUGAUGAAUCCCCUGGAAAAGCUGGAGCCAUCCCAGAAGACCUGACAGAGUUCCCAACAGCUGGGGCAACGAGUCCUUCAGAAGGAGGAUCUGGUGCUGCAGUGCCCUGACCCCACGAUUUGACUCAUGGCUCUCACCUCCCCCACCUGCUCCAAGCACAGUCCCUGGAGAGAAGGAAACAUAGAGACUGAGCCAACCCUUUUGGAUCCCUGGCUGUUUCAGAAAGCUUCUGCUCCCAUCUCUGGUAUCCGUGGGUACUUCCUCCUUAGGAGGGAGACACCACCAUGGUUCAGCGAGACCGCCUAUGGAGAAGGACCCAGGCUCCCCUCUUCCAAGACGGCGCUUUAUCCCAGGCGAUAUGCUCUGUGUAGUGCCAAGGCCUGUCAGACCGGGACCCCAGCCCCUGCCUCAGGUCUGCUCCCUGCCCUUGGAAAA